CGCUCCAGCUUCCCCGGCCAAAUCCGGCCGAUCCGGCCACCAAUUGGACCGGGUCUUGUGUCCAAAAUCAUCUACUCGGCGAGAGCUUUCCAUAGACACCAAGAACGCCGAAAUCCAUCGAGCGGAUUGUCCGAUUUUUGCUCGGGAAGAUUUUAGCCCAUUUCGACUUUUGGGCUAGAUUUCUCGAAAACCGUGAAUCCCACGAGAAAACCGAGGCCACCAGCACGCUCCAUUCGUCGAGAGCUUCGCAACGACAUAAAUUUCGAAUUUUUCCGACACCGUUUUUCGGUGGGUCCCACGAAACUUCGCAGUGUAUCCUCGAUUCGAGGAAAUUCGACAGUUGACCGGGUCUGCAAAUUUCGGGCCAGACAGACCCGUUACCGGAAAAGUCUCCGAAUUGGAUCGAGGUUUUGGCUAGCCCCCCAUUGUCAGACGUCCCGAGUGCAUUCCCGAAGUCGGAAUCGGCAAAGGUGAGCCGGGACAGCCUUCUUCCUCCGCCCAGCCGCCACAGUGAUUGUCGUCAAGUCUGCCACAGGAGGAUAUUUUUGAGGUUAACCUGCUCCCUUUCCUCGCAGGUUGUUUAUCAAUGUUUGUGUAAUUUUAUUAACUCCUAGAAUUUCCGCAUGUGUUAGAAGUAUUUAUUUGAUUAUGGUCUGUAAUAUUAUUAUCAUGUUGGACCUGUAAACGUAUAAUGAUAUGCAUGUUUGAUGGAUUGGAUGAGGGAGCUGAGCUCCCAUUUAUUAUUAUGUUGAUGAGUAUGUGGAGGGUGAGCUGAGCUCCCCAAUUGACUAUA